rnacentral:lncRNA from 1 species
UCUUUUUCUUGUUUCUUUUCAUAUUUUUACCCUUUCAUAAAAACUCAUUUUUCCAAGUUUCUAAUCAACUUUUCACUUUACUCUCCCCAACUUUAGAUUCCAAAACCAAAUUUAUUCAAUAAUGCUCCCUACUUAGAAAUAAGCAAAAGGCAAAAUUUUGCAAACAACUCGGUUUGAGGUUUCAACUGAUACGAAAGAAAUUAGGAUUCAUUUAUUCCACAAUUUUCAAUUGAUUUUAC